UUUCACAGAUGAGGUUUGCUAUGGUGGUUACUAUUGUGUUUCUGCAUCUGCUCUGAAAGAAAUUUCAUUUAAGCUUGAAACAAAUGCAUGCCGGUGGCCCAGAAUUCAUUUGCCACAAAUGUUUUUAAGAGCCUUGCAAACUGAAAUACAGCUUUUGAUUCAUUGAAAUUAUUGUGAUUGACUCCUAGUCCUCUUCUUCCAGCCUCAGAAUUAAGUGUAGAUAAAUGCAGCUCAGCUUGUUUUGUUCUUGAAAUAAGUUUCUACAAUGGCACUCGCACCCUGGGACACUUUUUCCCUGGAGGACAGCUUCGCUUUACUGAACUACUCACAUUUCGCAAGGCAGUGGCUCAGUUGUGUCAAUUCUGCCUGCAUCUGCAAUAUUUUCAAAGGGUCUGAAGCCUGAACUACUUUAGGAGACUUGAAGGAAGCAACCCCUGUGCUUGGCUAUCGUAUUGCACUGGUGACACAUGACACUCUUUGUAUACCUGCCGAGUUCAAUAUUGUGAAAACUGACGCUCUUAUUCUUGAAAUGGGCCUUUUGACUGCUUUAAACCUUUACGUUGUUAAUGGACAUGUUUCUUCCCCAACAGAACUGAAUAAACCUCCUUGUUUAACCUCUGUCUCCGUUGUGACAGGCUGUGCUGAGUCCGACACUGAACUGUGCUCUAGUACUGGUGCAUAAGAAAAGAAGUGAUUCCCAUACAACAGGAACUUAGAUGUUUGAUUUCGUCUGGAAAAAAAAAAAAAAAAAAAAAAAAAAAAAAAAAAAAAAAAAGGCUGUCCUAGGAGCUACAAAAGCAAGAAAAGAAUGGCUUCAUAGAAUGCAGUAACUCCCAGAAUAUGGAUCUGACAGUGUAUGAUUACUAAAGUUCAGAUGACUUCUGCAAAACAAAAUCAAGGCCUUCUUCUGCAUACCAUGUUUAUCAUAAAGAUGUCACCAGUGUGAUGCCUAGCAACCAGUACAGUGUUCCGGAGGUGUUUGCAUACAUUUUCCUGAGGGAGAGAUCUGCCUUGUCCCUGCUUGGGAGAGCUGUCAGUGUAUUCUGAUGUAUGAGGGAUAAAAGGAGUCCCUGCUGCAGUCUCCAAUAAGCUGAAGUCACGGCCUGAAAGCACUGACUUGGGCAUCACUAUGCUGUGUUAGAAAAUGUGUCAAUUAUCAGAUGGACUGCCUAAGGGUAUCGCCUGGGUCUAGGUCAUAAAACCAUCAGGACCAAGGGGGAAAAAAUUGAUGAGGAAGUUAACCAAUGAAUAUAUGCCUCCCAAUUUUGGCCCAGUACCACUACCAUCUAUCCAGACUUGUAAUAUUUUACCAACUUUUUCAUUAUUUAAAAAAAAAAAAAAAAAAAGUCAAACAACAAGAAGCUAUAAAAAUAGAAGUAAAAUCAUGUUAAUAUUUUAUAGCUAUUUUUCUAUUAUUGCAAUUUCUAAUAUACUGUGCAUUUGUUUGUAUGUGAAUACAGUGGGGACCACUUAAAUAUCUAGCCUGAGGCCUGAUUCAUGAAAGCUUUAUGCACCAUUUAUGUAGGUAUCUGUGGCAUUCACUCAGAAAAAGUAAGGAAUACAUAUUUUAUAGUAAAGUUUAUUCCUGUGCACAACCCACCUCCAGUAGCUGUCUGUAACAGAAAUGGGAAGAACAUCAAGGGUCCUCUAAAUAUCUGAGCAAUUCAGAAUUUUAGAUAUAAUAAUUGGCAGUGAUUAUCCUGUUGUAGCCUCGAAGUGCAACACUCUCCACAUGAGUAUCGGGGCCUCAUUUCUGCCGUUCAGAGGCAUGUAUAUAACAUUACUGACUCAUAAUGAGCUACAUACUUUGGCAGGACAACAGAAUUUGGUUGUCCUGUCACACACAAGCACUUUUUUUACCACUGUUUUUUUCUGAAAACAACCUUUUCAACACCUUUGUGUGAAGAAGAAGCAUGGAGAAAAGAGAGAGUGUGUAAUAAAGCGACUUGUCAAAGUCACACGAAAACUCUGUUAUACAGAUGAGAAUCAAAACCACUCUGUCCAUUACUUUAAUUACACAUUUUUCCUUCCUCUCAGGUCUCUUGAGACAAAGUAUUUCCUAAAUAUCUACCAUCUUUAACAUGUUCAUUUCUCAGAUUCAUGAAUCUAGUUCUUCUCAUAGGAAAGCAAGCUACCCACAUGUAGGUCUCCACAAUUUACAAUUACCUUACAGUUGCUUCAGGAAUGCUGCUGCACUGUGAGAGUAGUGUCAUGCUUUGGCUCUGAAUGCAAAGUCAGUACUGCAGUAAAAAAAAUAAAAUAAAAUAAAAUAAAUGCUCAUACCAUAUUGCUAACACAAAUUCACCUCUGUCCAAGGGGAAAAGUGAAGAUGGACAAAUAAAUGCAUUUUCAUCACUUCUUCUAUUUGACUCUGUUCAGUCUUUAGAGAAGACCUCUCCUCAUGCAGCAGUGCAUGAGUCUGUACAAGGUGGAUUGCUGGAACAGCCACAAGUAUGAAUGCAAGACAUUUUUUGUAGAUGAAAGGAAAAAUACAGUAUAACAUCAACCUAUUGAAAAUAGUCUGGGAAUCACAGCCAAGAACUUUUGACUUUUGCUUGGCUGGUUUCUCUGCACUCAAGACAAGAGGGAGCAAAGAGCCCUGCUGAGCCUUUCACGGCAGCUAAACACGAGCGCUGCCUGUGCUCCCUUCUCAGUGCCCUGGGAACCUUCACUCUGCAAAUUCCUGGGACAGUC